UGCAUACCACGUGUGACUGUGUUGA
rnacentral:piRNA from 2 species